GUGAAUGAUGAGAGGUUAUUGCUUCCACCUCGGAUUACCUGAAUUGCCCUUCGCUUCCUUUUUGUUUUGCCAUCUAGACCCUGGGACAUCCUUGGGUGCCUUGUCUUAUCAUUUACGCAUCUAUCACAAAAAUCUGAUAAGUUUGUAUUUUAGUGGCACUUGAGCUAAUAUUGUUUUUACCCGUUGCGAAAAAUACUAUAGUUAGCUUGUUGUACUAAGGUUUUUAUCCAACGUAUGAGUAACUAGAAAUAAUAUUCAAGCGUGAUUAAUAUCUACAACAUUUCAACUUAAUAGAAACUCAUUUAACCAUUGAUCAUCGUAAAUUUUUUAUUUUGAUUAGGGGAAAGAUCGAAUUUGAACUUGAGAUUCUUCCAACAUUCGAUAGAGAAAAUACAACUAGGAGCAGCUAAUUGGUCAUUAUGUUGGGUUUAAGGUUGCCUUUAUUUGAAAGGUAUUUUCACACUUUCACUUCAAAGUUCUUGCCCUAACUUGUUUGUUACAACGCAUAUAUUGUGCCACGUCAUGAAUUACAGCCUCAUUAACGAGUAAACUAAUAUUUACACUUGAUUAAUCAAAUUUUGAAGUACAGGUACAUGCAUGUCCAAAUGAGCAAACCAAGGUACUAAACAUAUAAUUUACCCUAAAAUUAAAUACGUAACACACUUUAAAGUCUAUUAAAAUUGCUUGUAAAAGAGAUUAAAAUAAUUUUUGAUAACUAAAACUGCUUCAGAGUAUGUUUGACAUAUAUACAUAAAUAAACUUUCCACGUCCAAUAAAACACUUAAUAACCUCGUUCAAGAAACACUUCAACAUUUUAAUAAAAAAUUUAAGAGAAUUCUAACGAAAAACUCAUGGUACUGUUUACUUUAACGAAAAAUCACAUUUUUACACUAAAAAAUCAAUCUUGAUAUUAUUCAGUUUACUCUUUAUUUUGUCAUUUUCAUUAAAACUUAAAAUUUUCAAACCAUUUUCAUUAGUUUUCCUAAAAUUUAAACGUAUAUCUGACAAAAAGCAUAUGAGCAAGUGUUUCCUGCCUAGCAAAUAGCAAUUCCAAAUCAUCGAUUACAAUAGUGUUUCGUCAAUUAGCUUUUGCAUCUCAAAGUAGGUGAAAGUUAAACACGUGAACAACUAACUAUCACAAAGUGAUUUAGUUGCUAAAGACGAAUUUCAUGUCUAUAUUUCACAUGAUAUGUCUUAGUUUCAAUUUCUGGUGAUUGUGAAUCACACCAAGUGGUUAAGGAGAGGUCAAAACGCCACAAUAAGUCUGCUUGACUCUGGAAUAAUGGACUAUCGUGACGAAAACAUCAACUGAUCUGUUUUUUCAAAGAAAAAUAUACGUGAACAUCUUCUUCAAAAUCGUUAAUAAGACGAAUAGAAUGACCAAUAAAACCAUGGAUUUUUGGUGUUUAAAUAAAGAAUAUUAUUUGGCUAAUCAAAGAUGAAUAGUAACUCAUACUCAAAACACUUAGUAUUUGAAUCACUUAGCUUUAUGCUUAUAAUCAAAACCGUUCAUAUUAUCAAUCACAUUGUAAAUAUCAUAUCUGCAAAAAAAAAUGAAUUAAAACGAAAGUCGUUUAGUCAAUCUAUUAUAAUAAAUACAUAGAUGAUUUGUAAUGUUGUCAUCAAUUUCGUUCAUUUGUUUUUGUACAGUUCGAUGACUAAACAACCUUAUUUUUAAUUAAUUUUUUGCAUAGAUGAUCUUGAUAGCGUGAUAUAAACGAUUCUGAUUAUAAACACAAAAUUCUAUAAAUUAGCAAUGAACAAUUUUAAUAUGAAUUUUUAUUCAUCCUUUAAUUAGUCCAGUAUUAUUCUUAUAUAAAUUAUAAUAGAGGAUCAAUGUUAUCCAAUAAGAAGCAAUCGCAUAUAGGGAAUUGUGCAAAAAAAAUUAUUAAAUUAUGAAAAGCUUUCUAGACCAAAAGAAAAUAAUCAAAAGCUAAUGUGUGCAAGUGCAACAAAUGGUAUGUGUGCAAAAGCUAAAUGGUAUGUGGCACACAGCUCGGAUCUUGACGUCAUGGCUUUUGAAAAACAUGUUGCGCCCCGGGUUAAAUAUCUGCCAAACCAAAUUUUUAAAAGGAAAAAUUAGAUCUUUAGACUUUACUUUAUUGACACACAUAAUCUUAAUCUAAUUAUCUCACAAUCUUGUUCACGCGUGGCUCAAAGAUGAAAGACCCCCCAUUUACGCCGUCCGUUACUGGCUAACUGGCUUGUCGUGGAUUCCAAAGGACAUUUUAAACAAACAUUUUUUAAAAAUAAAAAAAUUUGUCUACAGGCCCUUUAAAUUUUAAAAUAGGAGUUAUUAGUGCGAAACUCUCUAUAUUGAACUUCAACGAUCCGAACCAUUUAUUUUGUAAUUUUCAAUUUAUUGAAUAUUCUUGCAAAAAUUCAAUUCAAUCUGAAA
rnacentral:lncRNA from 1 species